GGGGCUAUAGCUCAGUUGGCAGAGCGCUUCCAUGGCAUGGAAGAGGUCAGGGGUUCAAUUCCCCUUAGCUCCA
rnacentral:tRNA from 2 species